UAAAGCACAAUUGUCAAAUAAAAUUGGGCAACAAGUGCGCCAAUUAGUUUAUGUAUGAAAGCCUCCCCCCGAAAGUGUAAUUAUCAUGGCCGCUUUCGUUUCGCCUUGGCGAGUGGCGAAUCGAACAGGCGACUCGCUUAAGUGAAUAACUUGAAAAAAUACGCUAUCAUUUCAAGCGUGCAAACAAAAGCUAGGAAGCAUGAUACAAAAAUUUACUGCGAAGCAGAAAUAUACUUAUAUUCCAUUCAUAA